rnacentral:rRNA from 1 species
UACAGAGGUGGCAAGCGUUGUUCGGAAUUACUGGGCGUAAAGGGCGCGUAGGCGGCCUUCUAAGUCAGACGUGAAAUCCCCCGGCUUAACCUGGGAACUGCGUCUGAUACUGGGAGGCUUGAGUAUGGGAGAGGGAUGUAGAAUUCCAGGUGUAGCGGUGAAAAUGCGUAGAUAUCUGGAGGAAUACCGGUGGCGAAGGCGGCAUCCUGGACCAUUACU